rnacentral:rRNA from 1 species
AUGAACGCUGGCGGCGUGCCUAAUACAUGCAAGUCGAGCGAACGGACGAGAAGCUUGCUUCUCUGAUGUUAGCGGCGGACGGGUGAGUAACACGUGGAUAACCUACCUAUAAGACUGGGAUAACUUCGGGAAACCGGAGCUAAUACCGGAUAAUAUUUUGAACCGCAUGGUUCAAAAGUGAAAGACGGUCUUGCUGUCACUUAUAGAUGGAUCCGCGCUGCAUUAGCUAGUUGGUAAGGUAACGGCUUACCAAGGCAACGAUGCAUAGCCGACCUGAGAGGGUGAUCUGCCACACUGGAACUGAGACACGGUCCAGACUCCUACGGGAGGCAGCAGUAGGGAAUCUUCCGCAAUGGGCGAAAGCCUGACGGAGCAACGCCGCGUGAGUGAUGAAGGUCUUCGGAUCGUAAAACUCUGUUAUUAGGGAAGAACAUAUGUGUAAGUAACUGUGCACAUCUUGACGGUACCUAAUCAGAAAGCCACGGCUAACUACGUG